rnacentral:rRNA from 1 species
AGAACGAACGCUGGCGGCACGCCUAACACAUGCAAGUCGAGCGCCCAGCAAUGGGAGCGGCGGACGGGUGAGUAACACGUGGGAAUAUGCCUUUCGGUACGGAACAACUCAGGGAAACUUGAGCUAAUGCCGUAUACGCCCUUACGGGGAAAGAUUUAUCGCCGAAAGAUUAGCCCGCGUCUGAUUAGCUAGUUGGUGAGGUAAUGGCUCACCAAGGCUUCGAUCAGUAGCUGGUUUGAGAGAACGACCAGCCACACUGGGACUGAGACACGGCCCAGACUCCUACGGGAGGCAGCAGUGGGGAAUCUUGGACAAUGGGGGAAACCCUGAUCCAGCGAUGCCGCGUGAGUGAUGAAGGCCUUCGGGUUGUAAAACUCUUUCGGACGGGACGAUAAUGACGGUACCCGUAGAAGAAGCUCCGGCUAACUUCGUGCCAGCAGCCGC